ACGGGUGAGUAAAGCGCAGGAAUAUGCCCUAUAGUGGGGGAUAACCUGGGGAAACCCAGGCUAAUACCGCAUGAGCUCUGAGGAGGAAAGCUGGGGACCCGAGAGGGCCUGGCGCUAUAGGAGUAGCCUGCGUCCGAUUAGCUGGUUGGUGAGGUAAAGGCUUACCAAGGCGAGGAUCGGUAGCUGGUCUGAGAGGACGAACAGCCACACUGGGACUGAGACACGGCCCAGACUCCUACGGGAGGCAGCAGUGGGGAAUAUUGGACAAUGGGGGCAACCCUGAUCCAGCGAUGCCGCGUGUGUGAAGAAGGCCUGAGGGUUGUAAAGCACUUUCAGCGGGGAGGAGGGUUUAUAGGUUAAGAGCUGAUAAACUGGACGUUACCUGCAGAAGAAGCACCGGCUAACUCCGUGCCAGCAGCCGCGGUAAUACGGAGGGUGCGAGCGUUAAUCGGAAUUACUGGGCGUAAAGGGUGCGCAGGUGGUUUAUCAAGUCAUGCGUAGAAUCCCCGGGCUCAACCUGGGAAUGUCGUGUGAUACUGGUGAACUGGAGUACGGGAGAGGGCAGUGGAAUUUCCGG
rnacentral:rRNA from 1 species